rnacentral:lncRNA from 1 species
CGGCUCGGUUGUGCUGAUCCGAGCUGUCAGAAGCGGGCUUGACCGAGUAGUUCUGGAGCUUCUGAGAGCUGGAGUGCCUGUCAAUAACACCGACCACACGGGGAGAUCUGCCCUCCACUGGGCAUGCUCAGUAAACCACCUCCCAUUGACACGGACUCUCAUUCGCUACGGUGCUGCAGUGGACUUACAGGACCAUAAGGGUGAAACAGCUUUGUUUCUCUCGGCUCUCCAUGGUUGCUAUGACACCGC